rnacentral:rRNA from 1 species
UAAAGGGCCGCGGUAUAUUGACCGUGCAAAGGUAGCAUAAUCAUUAGUCUUCUAAUUAAAGGCUGGUAUGAAUGGUUGGACGAGGUAUUAGCUGUCUCCUUAAAAUUACUUUGAAUUUAACUUUUUAGUCAAAAGGCUGAGAUAGAAUUGGAGGACGAGAAGACCCUAUAGAUCUUGAUAUUGAAAUUGUUUAAUCAUUUUAGAUGGGUUUGGGUUUAAUAAUGUAAAUAUUUUGUUGGGGUGACAGGAAGAUAAUAAAAACUAUUUUUAUAAAGUUAACAUUGAUGUAUGAUUAAAUGAUCCGUGAUAGCGAUUAAAAGACUAAGUUACCUUAGGGAUAACAGCGUAAUCUUUUUUGAGAGUUCUAAUCGACAAAAAGGGUUGCGACCUCGAUGUUGGACUAAGGGUUAUUCUUGGGUGUAGAAGUUCAAGGUUUAGGUCUGUUCGACCUUUGAACCCUUACAU